rnacentral:tRNA from 1 species
GCCCGAGUGGCGGAAUUGGUAUACGCGCAAGACUUAAAAUUUUGUGACCGCAAGGUCGUGUGGGUUCGAUUCCCACCUCGGGCACUA